AAAAAAUACCAUAUCUGAUCUGAAAGACUUACCAGAACUUCUUUCUGUCUAGACAAGUUAGAUAACUCAUGCCAUUUGUGCUACCCUGACUAUCUAUCAGGAGGAACCAAUAAUACCCCCCCAUUCUAUCAGCCACUUGCAAUACUGCAAGAUUCAUGCUAAUCUGAGAAAUUGUACUUUCUUUUUGGGUGCGGAGAAAUUACUGUUUGUUAGCAAGCUUGGUAAUGUUGGUCUUCCAGUUUGUUCUCGCCAUCUUAUUUUGUUCAGAAAUUCAUUCAAGCAAGAGGAUUAUGCCAUGAGUAAUUUGAACUGUUUGCACCACUCAUCAACCAAAUAUCAAC
rnacentral:lncRNA from 1 species